AUUGAACGCUGGCGGCAUGCCUUACACAUGCAAGUCGAACGGCAGCACGGGUGCCUGCACCUGGUGGCGAGUGGCGAACGGGUGAGUAAUACAUCGGAACAUGUCCUGUAGUGGGGGAUAGCCCGGCGAAAGCCGGAUUAAUACCGCAUACGAUCCACGGAUGAAAGCGGGGGACCUUCGGCCCUCGCGCUAUAGGGUUGGCCGAUGGCUGAUUAGCUAGUUGGUGGGGUAAAGGCCUACCAAGGCGACGAUCAGUAGCUGGUCUGAGAGGACGACCAGCCACACUGGGACUGAGACACGGCCCAGACUCCUACGGGAGGCAGCAGUGGGGAAUUUUGGACAAAGGGCGAAAGCCUGAUCCAGCAAUGCCGCGUGUGUGAAGAAGGCCUUCGGGUUGUAAAGCACUUUUGUCCGGAAAGAAAUCCUUGACUCUAAUACAGUCGGGGGAUGACGGUACCGGAAGAAUAAGCACCGGCUAACUACGUG
rnacentral:rRNA from 1 species